AUACGUAGGUCCCGAGCGUUGUCCGGAUUUAUUGGGCGUAAAGCGAGCGCAGGCGGUUUGAUAAGUCUGAAGUUAAAGGCUGUGGCUCAACCAUAGUUCGCUUUGGAAACUGUCAAACUUGAGUGCAGAAGGGGAGAGUGGAAUUCCAUGUGUAGCGGUGAAAUGCGUAGAUAUAUGGAGGAACACCGGUGGCGAAAGCGGCUCUCUGGUCUGUAACUGACGCUGAGGCUCGAAAGCGUGGGGAGCGAACAGGAUUAGAUACCCUGGUAGUCCACGCCGUAAACGAUGAGUGCUAGGUGUUGGAUCCUUUCCGGGAUUCAGUGCCGCAGCUAACGCAUUUAGCACUCCGCCUGGGGAGUACGACCGCAAGGUUGAAACUCAAAGGAAUUGACGGGGGCCCGCACAAGCGGUGGAGCAUGUGGUUUAAUUCGAAGCAACGCGAAGAACCUUACCAGGUCUUGACAUCCCGAUGCUAUUUCUAGAGAUAGAAAGUUACUUCGGUACAUCGGUGACGGGUGGUGCAUGGUUGUCGUCAGCUCGUGUCGUGAGAUGUUGGGUUAAGUCCCGCAACGAGCGCAACCCCUAUUGUUAGUUGCCAUCAUUCAGUUGGGCACUCUAGCGAGACUGCCGGUAAUAAACCGGAGGAAGGUGGGGAUGACGUCAAAUCAUCAUGCCCCUUAUGACCUGGGCUACACACGUGCUACAAUGGUUGGUACAACGAGUUGCGAGUCGGUGACGGCAAGCUAAUCUCUUAAAGCCAAUCUCAGUUCGGAUUGUAGGCUGCAACUCGCCUACAUGAAGUCGGAAUCGCUAGUAAUCGCGGAUCAGCACGCCGCGGUGAAUACGUUCCCGGGCCUUGUACACACCGCCCGUCACACCACGAAAGUUGGUAACACCCGAAGCCGGUGGGGUAACCGUAAGGAGCCAGCCGUCUAAGGUGGGGCCGAUGAUUGGGGUG
rnacentral:rRNA from 1 species